rnacentral:ncRNA from 1 species
UGAAAAGCGAUGAACAGAAAAGUAGUCCGUAAAAGGGCAGCAGAGAGAGGAUGUCACCGGCUGAAAACAUCCUUUACCCGAAUACCGAUGAAGUGCAUCUGGGAGCUGAUUAAGUGAGGCUUAAGCUUAGCUUAAUCCGGUCUGGACCGUUAUCCUUUAAGAGUGCAGGUGAUUUUUCCUGCAUAAUAGAGUGGAACCGCGGAUAACUUCGUCUCUAAG